UCUCUCUGCAAUGGAUCUGUGAUCCCAGAGGAGCAAAGGGCAUCCAACGAGCCUUCAGAUUCUAUUCCGCUCCAAAGUAUCUGCAAUGGAGCUGGAAAGGCAUCAGAGAUUUCAUCCAACAAUGACCUGACGACUUCUACAUCCCCAGAGGCCGGCAAGGAAGCUGAUAUCACAUCGGAGAUGGGUCCAGAAUCCCCCAG